rnacentral:rRNA from 1 species
AUUGAACGCUGGCGCCAGGCCUAACACAUGCAAGUCGAGCGAGCGGCGGACGGGUGAGUUAUGCCUGGGAAUUGCCCCGUCGAGGGGGCUAAUAGUUGGAAACGCCUGCUAAUCCCGCAUACGAUUGGAUCGCCCAGGUGGGACUAGCUAGUUGGUGAGGUAAUCGCUCACCAAGGCGACGAUCCCUAGCUGGUCUGAGAGGAUGAUCAGCCACACUGGAACUGAGACACGGUCCAGACUCCGCCGGGAGGCAGCAGUGGGGAAUCUUGCACAAUGGGGGAAACCCUGAUGCAGCCAUGCCGCGUGUAUGAAGAAGGCCUUCGGGUUGUAAAGCACUUUCAGCGAGGAGGCGUUACUCGCAGAAGAAGCACCGGCUAACUACGUGCCAGCAGCCGCGGUAAUUC